AUUGAACGCUGGCGGCGUGCUUUACACAUGCAAGUCGGACGAGUGGCGAACGGGUGAGUAACGCCUCGGAACGUGCCGAGUAAUGGGGGAUAACUGCCCGAAAGGACAGCUAAUACCGCAUAUAAUCCGAGCUGCCCAUGUCGGAUUAGCUGGUUGGCGGGGUAAAGGCACACCAAGGCGACGAUCAGUAGCGGGUCUGAGAGUAUGCACCGCCACUAUGGAACUGAGACACGGCCCAGACUCCUACGGGAGGCAGCAGUGUGGAAUUUUGGACAAUGGGCGCAAGCCUGAUCCAGCCAUGCCGCGUGUGUGAAGAAGGCCUUCGGGUUGUAAAGGACUUUUGUCAGGGAGGCGUUACCUGAAGAAUAAGCACCGGCUAACUACGUGCCAGCAGCCGCGGUAAUUC
rnacentral:rRNA from 1 species